CGUUGUAUAUGAUGCCCCCCAUAGGGGGCCUCACAGAGAUUAGCACCUCUCAGCCCUAGGAUGGUGCCUGGCAAAGAAUCUUGACCGUUCACUUUUUCACCGCGUUGUAUAAAAGCGUCCAGACUCGCAGUGAAACCCUAGCCAGCCGCCGCCCGCAAUCCCCAAUCCCGUCGCGACCGAUUCGCCUCCUCCCCUCCAUCUUCUUCCUCCCGCGCGACGGCCGAGUGUGCUGCUCAGCCUCCACCUCCGGCUUCCACUGCAUCCACUCCUCGGGCCAGCAGGGGCCAACCCCCGCGUCCGUCCAUCUCCUCUCUCUCCCACGCCUCUCCCUCUUCUCUCCUACGACGCUCCCUCUCAGUCCCCUCCGCGGGAGUGCCGCCGCCGGUGGAGCGUGGCUCAAGCGCGCGGGAGCAGGGCCGACGGUGGAGUGCGGCGCGAGGGCGCGGGAGCGGCGCCGCCAGUGGAGCACGGCCCGCUGAGGCGGUCGCCCUCACGGCCAGUGGCAUAGCAGGCUGCGCUUCUCCAUCUCGUCUUCGUCAAGCCGCCCGUGGAGCACGGGCCGCCGAGGCGGUCGCCCAGCGCGAGGGGGAAAUUGGCGACGCCCGAUCCUGGCAAGUCUGUGCCCUCCCCUAUCCUAUCUCCUCCCGUUUUACUUUGAAAUUCCGGUAGACGUGAUGGCAGCGGUCGCAUCUGGGUCGGCGGGCUACUUUUUUUUUCGUAGUAGUAUGAAACGACGCGUGUGUGUCUGAACUUCUUCCUUCUCCAAGGGCUACUUGCAGAUCUAAGGAAAAAGAGAAGAAAGAAAAAUGUAGGGGAAAUUUUGUGAAGAAGAAGAAGAUCAAGUACGUGUGUCGGUUUGAGGAAGAAGAGAAGAAAGAAGAAUCUGGAUACUGGAGCUCGGGGAAAAGAAUUACUAUACUACUGUGAUGUCUUGCGUAUGGUAUUUUCUAACCUUUUUCUGCUUGUGAUUGUUGCAGGUUCUUUUCUCAGACAUAAACGGCUAUGAGGUCGACCUGGGCACAGAAGAGAAGCACUGCUUCUACCGAGAGUCACAUCUCUUGGCCGUUGUCGCCUGAGCCUACUUCUAAAUACUCGUGUCAUGCACUUAUGCUCCAAAUACCUUGUCUCAACCAUGCAAGCUAUUGCUAGCUCCAUGUUUGUUAUCCGUCUUUUGGUGAUCAUAGGUUGAGCGAGUUGAUGAGUUUUAGAAGAGGGUGUUUCUUUUCUUGCCAUAAACAGGGGCCAUAUUGUUUAUUCAGACCGUGGUGCAUCUUUUUAUGUAGUAUAAUGGGACACUGGAACUGGAAGUGCUACUAAAAUUGGAAACAUAUCUUGGCUUGUGUAGCUGGGAAGCAAGAUCAAGAAGUUCUGAGGCGUCAUCUGCGCAUGACCGAGUGCUUGCAAGCGUGAUCAGGAAGCUGAGCAUUGUUCCGGGAAUAUAUUUCAUGUGGUCCUUGGUCUUUUCAUGAAGUUCGGCACCGGCGUGUUCACCAAGGAUGUCGCCAUCAUAGUCCACAAGGGCAUCUCGACAAUAGAAGCCCUGCCGUCCGUGUUCGAUGGCAUCAACUUUGGAGCAUCAGCCUACAUGUACUCUGCUUAUUCCAUAGUAUUGUGAAAUCCUUUCACUCCUAAGAUGACAAGCUGAUGCAUCAAUUUUAGCUGGUUGCCGGACGAGCAGGUGGUGGCUGCAUAAUAUGCGCUGCUCAUUUCCCAUCUAUAUUGUUAUGAUGCUGUUUAUACUGUUCUAUGUAUAUCGAGCAGGUUAA